GGAAUGCUUGGGAAUCUGCCUCGUAGUGGGGGAUAACGUUCCGAAAGGAACGCUAAUACCGCAUACGUCCUACGGGAGAAAGGGGGGGAUCUUCGGACCUCUCGCUAUGAGAUGAGCCCAAGCGGGAUUAGCUAGUUGGUGAGGUAAAGGCUCACCAAGGCUACGAUCCCUAGCUGGUCUGAGAGGAUGAUCAGCCACACUGGAACUGAGACACGGUCCAGACUCCUACGGGAGGCAGCAGUGGGGAAUAUUGGACAAUGGGCGAAAGCCUGAUCCAGCCAUGCCGCGUGUGUGAAGAAGGCCUUCGGGUUGUAAAGCACUUUAAGCGAGGAGGAAGGUUCGUUACUUAAUACGUAACGGAAUUGACGUUACUCGCAGAAUAAGCACCGGCUAACUCUGUGCCAGCAGCCGCGGUAAUACAGAGGGUGCAAGCGUUAAUCGGAAUUACUGGGCGUAAAGCGCGCGUAGGCGGUUGUGUAAGUUGGAGGUGAAAUCCCCGGGCUCAACCUGGGCAUUGCCUUCAAAACUGCACGGCUAGAGUAUGGGAGAGGAAGGUAGAAUUCCAGGUGUAGCGGUGAAAUGCGUAGAGAUCUGGAGGAAUACCGAUGGCGAAGGCAGCCUUCUGGCCUAAUACUGACGCUGAGGUGCGAAAGCAUGGGGAGCAAACAGGAUUAGAUACCCUGGUAGUCCAUGCCGUAAACGAUGUCAACUAGGUGUUGGGGAACUUGAUUCCUUAGUGCCGCAGCUAACGCAUUAAGUUGACCGCCUGGGGAGUACGGUCGCAAGACUAAAACUCAAAUGAAUUGACGGGGGCCCGCACAAGCGGUGGAGCAUGUGGUUUAAUUCGAUGCAACGCGAAGAACCUUACCUACUCUUGACAUCCAGAGAAUCCUGUAGAGAUACGGGAGUGCCUUCGGGAAUUCUGAGACAGGUGCUGCAUGGCUGUCGUCAGCUCGUGUCGUGAGAUGUUGGGUUAAGUCCCGCAACGAGCGC
rnacentral:rRNA from 1 species